ensembl:lncRNA novel transcript, antisense to FKBP4
AUUGUUUCCACUUUAUUGCUCAAGCAUGGAACUUGAGGCAAGCCUGGACCUUCAGCAACGUGCAGAGAAGAGGCUGAGGGGAUUUUGGGACACAACCUGGCCGAGAGGGGAAACUGACAGGGGAAAUACCAGAACAGGGAACAGGGGGUGGUCAAAGGAGAAUUUGUCCUUGCGAUCCAGACUGGAGUCAAACUUUGUGCCAUCUAAUAGCCAGCCAGUGUAGUGGACAAAGACUCGGUCCCCAAUCAUGGGCAUCUCUGUACCUGUGCCCUCUCUCUUGAUGACCU